GGGGACGAUUUGGUUUCGACUGUUGUAGACCUGGGUACUGUGGCAUGUAGAGGUGAGAGCCCGCCUUUAAAAACUCUCAAAAAACAAACGCUAACAACGAAUUAGCUUUAGCAGCUUAAUUUAAGCUUCUACGAGAAACUGCUCUAACUUUCCGGUGGGCAGCGUAUCGACUCUAAACGGGAAGUUGCACAGGUCGUUCUCCGACUUGGAUUUGUGCAGAACCAAAGUUGGAUAGGAGUGAAUCACCUGUUUGUGGGUCAAGGCACUUCGAGAUUUAUUUACAAACUAAACAUGUAGAGGCUUUACUUAUGUGCAAUAGGACCCGGGUUCGACCCCCGGCGUCUCCAUUU
rnacentral:tmRNA from 1 species